rnacentral:lncRNA from 10 species
AAGCUGGUUUAGUAUCUAAGCACUGCUUCUUUUUUGACUUAACAUCACACUGCUUUGAGAUCCUAGACUCACAUAAACGUGUGAAUACAAAUGGCAAAACUCUUUUUAAUGCUUUUUGAGUUAUUUCAGGAAAAAUCACUGCAAUGUUAUGACCAGAAUGCUGCCAAAGAGGUGGCAGAGUGCUUGAUACUCAUAGAGGGAAUUUAAAUAGUGGUAUCUUACUACAAGGCUGCUUACUGGAAACACCUCCAAGUCUCUGCCUGAGAUCUUCUUCCUGGAUGUAGGAGCACACUCACUGAGGGACCAGGAUGAGCUACAAGUCUCAAACAGUUUACCCUUCCCUGUAUUGAGCUCUAUGGAAGAUGUUAUUGUUAAGAUGAUCAACAGAAGCAUUCACAACCGAUAAAUCCUCCCCAAGAAGCCCAGUCCAUAUGUGAGAGCACAUGUUGAGCUCAAGACUUCAUACGUAGAGGCUUGACAGUUAAGGAUAACUGUGGUAGGGGCUGGGCAUGGUGGCUCAUGCUUAUAAUCCCAGUGCUUUGAGGGGCUGAGGCUGGAAGAUUGCUUAAGCCCAGGAGUUCAAGACCAGUCUGGGCAACAGAGCAAGACCCUGUCUUCACAAAAACUUAAAAAAUUAGCUGAAAUUAGUACAUGCCUAAUUUAUACUAAAAUUUAUGCCUAAUUUGUACUAAAAAUUAGUACAUGCCUGUAAUCCCAACUACUCAGGAGGCUGAGGCAGGAGGAUGGACUGAACCUAGAAGUUUGAAGCUGCAGUGAGCCAUGACUGCACUCCAGCCCAGGUUACAGUGCAAGACGCUGUCUCUGGGAAAAAAAAAAAAUAGGAGGCAGAAACUUCAAGAAAUUGGUAAACUGACAAAAAUCCACUGAAAGUGGUUAUAGAGAAUAUUCCAAUAGAUGUAUAUGUGUUCAGUGUUUUUUAUUAAAUCUUAAAUCCUGCUGAUUUCUAAUAAACAAGCUGAUUGGACUUGUAAAAAGCUUUGAUCAUGAAAUAAAUUGCAGUUUUAUUAUGAAGAAACAGAACAAUUCAAAUUAGGAUGAUAAAUGUUAUUUAAAAUAGAAUCUUAGAGAACCACAGUAAUGCACAGAUGAGAAUUAUUUGCAAUUAGGAUAUUGUUUAUUUGUAUACAAAAACACUUCAGGACACUUAGAAAUUGCUCCUUCUCCCCUUGAAAUCCAUCUAAUAUGUUUACACUGUUAAUUACAUUUCUUAUGGGGGAAAAAGGAUUUGGAGUAUUUCCUUGUUUUGUUUGUUUGUUAAAUAAAAUUUUGCCUUCCUCCUUCCUUCCCCUUUUCAUGGCCUCUGAAAUAAUAAGACUUACUAAACUGAGAAUUAGAGAGCCCUUGUUAUGGGUUGAAUUAUAUUCCCCCUGCCCCCAUUUGUAUGUUGAAGUUCUAACAUCUAGUACCUCAGAAUAUGACCUGAUUUGGAGAUAGGACAUUUACCGAAUAAUCACAUUAAAAUGAGCUCAUUAGGUGAGCCCUCAUCCGUAAUGACUGGUGCCCCAAUAAAAAGGAGAAAUCUGGGGACAGACAUGCACCAAAGAAGAACUCCAUGUGAAAUCCAGAGCAGAGAUGGGGUGAUAUGUCUACAAGUCAACGAACAGCAGAGUGUCAGCAAACCACCAGAAGCCAAGAAGGCAUGGAACAGAUUCUUCCUCACAGCCCUCAAAAGGAACCAACCUUGAUGACACCUUGAUCUCAGACUUCUUGCCUUUAGAACUGUGAGACAAUAAAUUUCUGUUAUUAAACCACCCAGUUUGUGGUACUUCAUUACCGCAGCCCUAGCAAACUAAUACAGCUC